rnacentral:rRNA from 1 species
AUACGGAAGGUCCGGGCGUUAUCCGGAUUUAUUGGGUUUAAAGGGAGCGCAGGCGGAGAUGCAAGCGUGACGUCAAAUUUCGGGGCUCAACCCCGUCUCGCGUCGCGAACUGCGUCCCUUGGUUGCGGGAAGGGGAGGCGGAACUCGUGGUGUAGCGGUGAAAUGCAUAGAUAUCACGAAGAACUCCGAUCGCGAAGGCAGCCUUCCGGCCCGUCAACGACGCGCAUGCUCGAAGGUGCGGGUAUCAAACAGGAUUAGAUACCCUGGUAGUCCGCACAGUAAACGAUGGACACCCGCGGUUUGGCCUAUAUGGCUGAGCCGCCAAGCGAAAGCGUUAAGUGUCCCACCUGGGGAGUACGCCGGCAACGGUGAAACUCAAAUGAAUUGGCGGGG